UUAACUAAGAUUUGUAAGGAGUUGAAACGUUUGCCUACGUUUGCCGCUAGGGGCGCUGUUCCAACUGCAUACAAAUUUGAGUUA
rfam:Bombyx mori DNA, contig: Bm_scaf71_contig31052, strain: p50T/Dazao, build 2, whole genome shotgun sequence.